ensembl:rRNA 5S_rRNA 5S ribosomal RNA
GUCUAUGGCCAUACCAACCUGAACAUGCCCAAUCUCAUCUGAUCUUGGAAUAAUAAAUAAAUUAGAAAAAAGGCUGGGUGCGGUGGCUC